GAGGGGUAUAAGGAGAGGAUAAGGAACACAUUUCACAGAUGACCAGAUCAAAGAGUGACAGCUUGGUGGAUCCCUUUGUCUCACUUUGUUUUUCAUCUCUCUCUACCUGGCUCCUCUCUUUUUUGGACAACCAAUAAAAGUCCACUAAUCUAAUUAGGGUUUGCUUAAAGAGACAAAGUGGAGCCUCAUCUGGACUGAGUUCGAGAAAAAAACUGCUUUUUUGUGAACUGUGGUUUGGAAAAUCUCCAGUUUUGAGGGAGGAGCAGGGAUUUUGCUUAUCAUCACUGCUUCACGUCUCACCUCUUUGCUGCUUUCAGGUUUGCUCCUAUAUGGACAAGAGCUUAUCUCCGGCAUCCAAAAAGUGCUGCACUCAAGGGAAUCGCAUACGUGCAUAAGACAGACGCUCAGGUUGACUCUAGGGACACGCAACAAGUGAAAGAUAAGAAGCAACUGUAGAUUAAAGCAGGGAUUAAAAUGAAAUGAAUUAUUAAUACCUGUAGAUUAAUUGCUGGUUUCAAUCUAAUAUUUAAACCCUAGAGUAGAUCCAUACUGAGCAGCCACAUACAGCUGAUUAAUAAUGGAGAUGGAGCCGGCAGCCCACAUGUAAACAAUGUGUUUGACAUCCACUCACUCUGACAAAAACAUUACACUGUGAUAUAUCCAAAACAUGCCAAGUCAUCAUGAUGUUAGCUAUUAUAUUACAAUUGAACUCAAAGUCUAAAAUGACAGUAAAUAUGCAUUAAGAUGGGAAAGCAGAUAAUGUCACACACAUCGUCAUGCUGACACUGUAGUUUUGAACCAGCAGUUGGGUUUUGUUUGGCUUGCGGCAUGAUGGUGAGUGUGAUUUUACUACAACAAGGGUGUGGCUGCUCUCAACUUUACCACACAAGGCACGCACACACACACUGUCUUUCAGCAUUAAAGAGCCAGUGUAGUCAUAAAUCUGCGAAUCCUCACUCCUGUUCCUCUUUGUCUAUGUGUAGCAGCUGGCAAUAAGGAGUGAAAUUCACAGUAAGAUGGAGGUCAUUAUUUAAACUUAUUUCUCUGUUAUUUAAAUAUUAUGAUCUAAACUUUUAGAAAUGAGUUUUUGUUGCCACGCAGAAAAGCUUGAAUCCAUCCUGCCUUGUAUUAUAGUUCAGGCUGAAGGUGGUGGUGUAGUAAUGUAAUAAUGUGGGGGACAUUUUCUUGGUACACUUAGUAACAGCUGAGCAUCAAUUAAGAACACCACAGACUACCUGAGUAUUGGCACUGACCAUGUCCACCGCUUUAUGAUCACAGUGCUUCCAGCAGGAUAAUGCUUUCUUGAAGGUUUUUUUUAAAGAAUUGUGUCAUGGAUGCGCAAUGGAGAAAUUUGUGAUGCCAUCAUGUCAAUAUGGAUCAAAAUCUCUGAGGAAUGUGUCCAGCAACAUGUUGAAUCUAUGCCAUGAAGAAUUAAGUCAGUUAUGAAGGCAAGGUGUUAAUAGAGUGACCAGUAAGUGAAUUUUCCUGUGUGUACUCAGGCAUCACAACCUUUUGCAACUUAAAACUGCACACAAAAGACAAACAGGUCAAACGGAUAUACACUGUCAUGAUAGUAGAACUGCUUUUACUACUAGCAGUGUUAACCAAACCGGUCAGGCAAGCCAACAGGAGCCAAGUUUUUUUCUCCCUUAAAACUGUUGGGCGGAGACAUGUGCAUGGGUGACGGCACGUUCCCCUUGCUCCUCUGCAGGCAUUUCCAAACAGAUAGAGGUACUUUUCCAUCUGUAAAGCACCACAGGAAUCAGUGCCAGUAUUUUUCCUCAUGUUUUUAGUACACAGCAUAUAUAAUAGAGAAUGUAAAGGUAUGACACAGAGGCGGAAAUAAAAUAUUAGUUUUAGUUUCGAAGAGUUUGACGUGGGCUCUCCAGGAAUUGUGUGUGCAGUACAUGUGUUGGUAAACAGAUGCACUUGUCUACCUUUGCACUCAGGUCUGUGCUUAUAAUUGUUAGAACACUAUGACCUUGUAGGUGCAGCUCAGUAUGUACUCUUGUGUGCGUGCAGACCGGGAUAAAACAUUUACAGUCAUGGCCAUAAAUCAUGUCAUGCAGGUGGCGAUUAAAUUUGCAUUACAGGCCAUAAAACUCCGGGUGUGUGCUGAAUAUUAUCAGCAGGGACUUGAGUGUUUAUAUAUGUAAUAAAAUUAUUGUUCCAUGAUAAAUCUGCAGUGAUAAUUCCACCCUGAUCCCAGCAGAUAACAACUGAGGAAUAUGCACAGAUUACUUCACCUUUGUUUUGUUUUUUUUACCUUGGUGUUAAUAAGCAUGACUUCCCUCUUGAUGAGCAUUUAAAUGCAGAUUCACUUCCUUUUAUUGUGGCUUACAGUAACUGGUUCCGUAUGUUUUAUUACAGUUUGUCGCGGUUAAGGUGCUCAAGGUAUUCACAAACACUGUGCACUACAUAUGUAACCCACCAAAACGUAUAACUCAUUCACUCAGUUGUUAAUUUCAUGUCAAAAACUAUCUCAGUCUAACUUCAGUUUUUAAAUAUUGCUACUGUAGCUAAUUUGGUCAAAUCCUAACUCACCUUCCUCUUCUUACAGUAUUUAUUUAUUUAUUUUUUAUUUCUCAAACCCUUCCUGACCUCUGCCCCUGAACCACUCCAGCCUCAACUGACCUUUAGUCAGUAUUCUUCUGGAAACCACCCUGACCCACAAACCACUCUGGAUCACUUGCCUCUGGCUCCUCACUUCCCCUCUCAGCUCAACCUGUACCUACUUGGUUCAACUCGACUCUACUCAGUUUUGAGCGUCUUCCAUUACUGUCGAGUACCACCGCUAUGUACUUGGGGUCGUUACAGCAAUGUGGCCGAAAGUCCCGUGACAUCAUUUGUAUGUGACACAAUGCAACAAUGGAGGAAAUGGAGGUGAUGGUAUACCUGCUGCAUAACCAAUGCUGAGCUGAAUGAAAGAGUGGCACAGACAGGAAGGGCAGCAAAGAGGGAGGGACCUGACGCAGCCCGAGGCUACAGUCUGCAGACAGUAUGUGGACUUUUAAAUGGAGUGGGCUGAUAUGGCAUUUAAACAUGUCUGUCGCAGCAAACUCCAUUUCCUCAUGUGGGCAGGUUGUCGUCUGGAAGGAAAUCAAACUCAUUUCUGAAGGGCAAACAUGGUAUGUACUGUGACAAGGAUCCCUGCAUUGGUUUGCUUAUGAAGAAAUAUAUGUGCUAAAGCAGAUGGGCUUGAAAAAAAGAUAAAUAAAGAUAAAUAAAUUUUUACCUUUUCUUUUAACAACUACUGCAGAACUGCCUUCUCCAAUUAUACUUCUGUCUAAAAUACCAGAGAGCCCAAACUAUUACUAAUGGACUUUGUCAGAAAGUCACAAGCAAUGAAGGCGAGAACAAGGCACCCUCCACUAAUCGCAUAUUUUUGAGCACUGUAUACAACAUAAUCAUGUUUUUCAGUUGUUAUUUGUCCAGUACCCUCAGACGAGUAUCAUAAAUCAGAUGGCACGGAGUACUCGGUCUUAAAGUCACAUGAUUGCCGUUCAAAAGCAGAGAGUGGAGUAAUUGUCCAGAUGUUUCAUAGUUCUGACCCUCUUUUAACAUGAUACAGCUGUAUACAGCUUUGCUGAUUGACUGACUAAUUCACCCAACAAAAACCUCCUGGCAAUAUGUUUGCAAUCAAAAUGUAUAAUCUUUUCAAUAUGGCGAGGAACGGUUCUCGGAUAAGUGAUGUUUUAAGCGAUUUCCCAUAAGUUUGCAUUUGGCCUAAAGACAAAAAAGAUCGGCCGUUAAGUGUUUACUUGAUGGUUUAUGGCCAGUUUCCUGCAAAUGACAUUCCACUCAGGCUCAGUGGUAACUUUAUGUUAAUGUUAAUUAGUAAAUGCUAAGCCAUGCUGAUUUGAAUUACAGUAAUGAAGGGUGGACUGCAUCAAUUAGAUUGUCACCACAGAUUUUUUAAAUAAAUGUCAUAUGAUGUAUUUUCUGAACAGCCUGUGUUUGAAGCAGGGUGUAGAUCAAUAUUUAGAUAAAUAUUAUAUUUCAAAUCUGUGAGAAAAUGAGCAUGCAAAGCAUAUGCAUGUGUUUUUUUACUGCAGCACCAUGUGUAACACUUGUACUUUAUCCUGUCACCCUGCAGUUUCCUGCUUCCCAAUGCCCACAGUUUCACACGCUAAGUUCCCACCAUCCAGUCGUGUCUUUCCCACUACCCCUUUUCCUUCCCGCCAUCCAAAUGCCCUGUAUCCAUUUACUGCCCCUUUACACACCUAAAUCCCUCUACUCCCCUCUCACCCCUUCAGCCCACUUCUUUUUUCUUUCUCUCCGUGAAAGAGCACACUUCUUUUUUAACCUGUUUUCCCAUCUUUGUUCCUCUCCUCCUGGCGCUCUUCUAUCCCACUUCUCCUCUCCCUGACACUGUAUCUCCCUUCUGCCCUCCUGUUCAACCAUGAAAUCCGUGUCCAGCUGAGUUGUUCUGGGAGCCAGUGUUACCAGAUGGCAUCAGGCAGAACCCAAACAUCUGUGUUACCCAACUCGGCCCGAACCAGACUCCGAAGGAUACGCAGCUGUAUAAACAGCGUGUGUGUAAAAAUGCAAGCUAUGCGGCCAAGCAAAGGGGUCCUCACCAGGUCGCUAUGAAAAGAAAUAUUAUUAAUAAUGAUAAUAAUGACAGAGGAAAUACCUAAGGUCGAGACGUGACUUUGUGUUUGUGUGACAGUGGGGCAUGGGAAAGAUACAACACAAAACCCCGGGGCCAAGAUUAGAUAGUUUGCGAGGUUUAGUAGAUUAAAAACAUAUUGGACUGUAAUUACAGACAUCACCACAAACAAUACUUAAAAUACAUGAUAUAUUCUCAUGUCUGCAACUCUGUAUGUAAGGUUAGUUUAGGUUAGAAAAGCAGUAAAACCACAA
ensembl:lncRNA